rnacentral:rRNA from 1 species
AUUGAACGCUGGCGGCACGCCUAACACAUGCAAGUCGAACGAGUGGCGGACGGGUGAGUAAUGUCUGGGAAACUGCCUGAUGGAGGGGGAUAACUACUGGAAACGGUAGCUAAUACCGCAUACCAUCGGAUGUGCCCAUAUGGGAUUAGCUAGUAGGUGGGGUAAAGGCUCACCUAGGCGACGAUCCCUAGCUGGUCUGAGAGGAUGACCAGCCACACGGGAACUAGGACACGGGCCAGACGCCAACGAGAGGGAGCAGUGGGGAAAAUUGCACAAUGGGCGCAAGCCUGAUAAAGCCAUGCCGCGUGUAUGAAGAAGGCCGUCGGGUUGUAAAGUACGUUCAGCGGGGAGGCGUUACCCGCAGAAGAAGCGCCGGCUAACUCCGUGCCAGCAGCCGCGGUAAUAC